UUACGGCCAUUUCACGUUAAAACAUCGGUUCUCGUGUGAUCACUGAAGUUAAGCAACAUUGUGUCCGGUUAGUGCCUAAAUGGAUGACCGCUUUUGAAUAUCAAGUGUUGUCAG